rnacentral:rRNA from 1 species
UACGUAGGGUGCGAGCGUUGUCCGGAAUUAUUGGGCGUAAAGGGCUCGUAGGCGGUUUGUUGCGUCGGCUGUGAAAUCCCGAGGCUCAACCUCGGGUCUGCAGUCGAUACGAGCAAACUAGAGUGUUGCAGGGGAGACUGGAAUUCCUGGUGUAGCGGUGAAAUGCGCAGAUAUCAGGAGGAACACCGGUGGCGAAGGCGGUUCUCUGGGCAUUACCUGACGCUGAGGAGCGAAAGUGUGGGGAGCGAACAGG